rnacentral:rRNA from 1 species
GACGAAGGGGGCUAGCGUUGUUCGGAAUUACUGGGCGUAAAGCGCGUGUAGGCGGUUGUCCAAGUCGGGGGUGAAAGCCUUGAGCUCAACUCAAGAAAUGCACUCGGUACUGGGCGACUAGAGGACCGGAGAGGAUAGUGGAAUUCCCAGUGUAGUGGUGAAAUACGUAGAGAUUGGGAAGAACACCAGUGGCGAAGGCGGCUAUCUGGACGGUUUCUGACGCUAAGACGCGAAAGCGUGGGGAGCAAACAGG